CUCGACUCCGCCCAGACUCCGCCCGGACUCCGCCUGUAAUGAAUAUUAUAAUUAUAUGUUGCAAACUUAUGAAUAUGCAUGUCACCUCCCCUAUAAAUACUCCAACCCUUUCCCUCAGGGCAGGAACUCUUUGUCCAGCGCGAGUUGGGAGUUCCUCGGAACCGAAAAUAAAUACCUUUGUUGUUUAAAGGCUCAAAACUCUGUCUCUAAACAGUUUUGCUUGGCCUUUUUGGGCUUCAUUUUGGCGACCCAGAUGGGACUGGACUCCGUCGUGCCGUGAUCCAGGGGGGCCCGGGGAUGCUUUUUGGGGCUCCGCGACGAAUUCUGUCGGAUCAGCCUCCCCUACUCCCUUGGCUUACGCGCCGAUGGACACCAGACCUUCCUCAUACUGAAAAGCUAUCAAGUCUCUCAACAGAAAGCACAGCUGGUGCAGGAAAAGGUGGUCUACCUGGGAUACGAGAUUUCUGGAGGACAGUGAUCCCUGGGAACCUCAAGGAGAGAAGCCAUCUGCCAGAUGCCCAAGCCUGAAAUGGUGAGAGACCUGUGAGCCUUCUUAGGAAUGACAGUCUGGACUCUUGAAGAGGAAGCAGCCUUUAGAAGACUGAAACAAGAGCUGAUGAUGAAACAAAGAAAAGACCCUGACAGGGUUAACUCCUGGUGGGAUAAAUUCCUGUAACUUUCCACUAAAGCAGUGUGAACAUCUUCUGUCUGUAAGUACAGAUCUUGCUUUUAAAACCAAGACACUGCCAAGGCCAACGAGGCAGUGAGGGGAUUAACUUCUGCAAAAGUGUAGGUCUUGUUCUCAAAACAAGGCACUGCCAAGG